CGAGGUCACUCAAGCUACCAGUCCCAAACCUCAGUCCGGCUGUAGCUGUGUGAUGGAACAGACGUGUUCUCUGAUGCGAUGAUCUAAUAGUCUUGAAAAGAGGACCAUUCCCGUGGCUUCUGAGGAAACCUUCCCCAGUAAACCUUCGGAAUUCCACCGACAGAAUCAGUCGGGGCGAGCGGGGACCAGAUCGGACAGGAAUGGCCGGGCGAGCAGAGAGCAGGCGGAUGGCCGGGAGGGCCAGCGGGGAGCGGGCAGCCGUGCGGGCGGACAGUACCCCCAGCCGUAGAGGUA